rnacentral:rRNA from 1 species
AGAGCGAACGCUGGCGGCAGGCCUAACACAUGCAAGUCGAGCGCCCGUAGCAAUACGGGAGCGGCAGACGGGAGAGUAACACGUGGGAACGCGCCCUUCGGUUAGGAAUAACUCAGGGAAACUUGAGCUAAUACCGGAUACGCCCUUACGGGGAAAGAUUUAUUGCCGAAGGAACGGCCCGCGUCCGAUUAGCUUGUUGGUGAGGUAAUGGCUCACCAAGGCGACGAUCGGUAGCUGGUCUGAGAGGAUGACCAGCCUCACUGGGACUGAGACACGGCCCAGACUCCUACGGGAGGCAGCAGUGGGGAAUAUUGGACAAUGGGCGCAAGCCUGAUCCAGCCAUGCCGCGUGGAUGAUGAAGGCCCUAGGGUUGUAAAGUCCUUUAACGGGAAGAUAAUGACGGUACCGUAGAAUAAGCCCCGGCUAACUUCGUGCCAGCAGCCGC